UACAGAGGGUGCGAGCGUUAAUCGGAAUUACUAGGGCGUAAAGCGCGCGUUAGGCGGCUUUGCAAGCCGGAAUGUGAAAUCCCCGGGCUUAACCUGGGAACUGCAUUCGGGACUGCAUUUGCUAGGAAGUAUGGGAAGAGGGAAGUGGGAAUUUCAGGUGUUAGGCGGUGGAAAUGACGUAGAUAUCUGAAGGAACAUCAGUGGCGAAAGCGAACUU
rnacentral:rRNA from 1 species